rnacentral:rRNA from 1 species
GUCGAACGGCAGCACGGACUUCGGUCUGGUGGCGAGUGGCGAACGGGUGAGUAAUACAUCGGAACGUACCUUUUAGUUGGGGAUAACGCAUCGAAAGAUGUGCUAAUACCGAAUAAUCUCUGAGGAGGAAAGGCGGGGAUCGGAAACGACCUGUCGCUGAAAGAGCGGCCGAUGGCCGAUUAGCUAGUUGGCGGGGUAGAAGCCCACCAGGGCUAUGAUCGGUAGCUGUUCUGAGAGGAAGAUCAGCCACUCUGGGACUGAGACACGGCCCAGACUCCUACGGGAGGCAGCAGUGGGGAAUUUUGGACAAUGGGGGAAACCCUGAUCCAGCAGCGCCGCGUGAAUGAAGAAGGCCUUAGGGUUGUAGAGUUCUUUUGUCGCAGAGCAGAAUGCUUGUACUAAUACUAUGAGUAGAUGAGAGUAUGCGAAGAAUAAGCACCGGCUAACUACGUGCCAGCAGCCGCGGUAAUACGUAGGGUGCAAGCGUUAAUCGGAAUUACUGGGCGUAAAGCGUGCGCAGGCGGAUAUAUAAGUUAGAAGUGAAAUCCCCGGGCUCAACCUGGGAACUGCUUUUAAGACUGUAUAUCUAGAGUUUGUCA